AACGUAGGAGGCGAGCGUUAUCCGGAUUUACUGGGUGUAAAGCGCAUGCAGGCGGUUUGCUAAGUUGGGUGUGAAAGCUCCUGGCUCAACUGGGAGAGGUCGCUCAAGACUGGCAGACUAGAGGGUGGUAAGGGAAGGUGGAAUUCCGGGUGUAGUGGUGAAAUGCGUAGAUAUCCGGAGGAACACCAGUGGCGAAGGCGGCCUUCUGGACCACGACUGACGCUCAGAUGCGAAAGCUAGGGAAG
rnacentral:rRNA from 1 species